rnacentral:snRNA from 1 species
GUGCUCACUUUGGCAGCACAUAUACUAAAAUUGGAAUGAUACAGGGAUUAGCAUGGCCCCCCUGCAAGGAUGACAUGCAAAUUUGUGAAGUGUUCCAUAAAACA